CUACAGGGGUAUCUAAUCCUGUUUGCUCCCCACGCUUUCGCACCUCAGCGUCAAUAACUGUCCAGUGAGUCGCCUUCGCCACUGGUGUUCUUCCGAAUAUCUACGAAUUUCACCUCUACACUCGGAAUUCCACUCACCUCUCCAGUAUUCUAGCAACCUAGUUUCAAGGGCAGUUCCGGGGUUGAGCCCCGGGAUUUCACCCCUGACUUGGAUCGCCGCCUACGCGCGCUUUACGCCCAGUAAUUCCGAACAACGCUAGCUCCCUCCGUAUUACCGCGGCUGCUGGCAC
rnacentral:rRNA from 1 species